rnacentral:lncRNA from 1 species
UAUGAAAUGCCAAAUUAUGAAAGGAAAGAUAGAGAGAGCAAAAGGAAACAAAGAAAAAAUAAAAAUUUUGAAAAUAUAGUAGAUGUAAAAUGACUAAAUUGCCCAUGUAUUAAAAGACAAAAAUAUCAUUUUUUAAGGUACCUGAUAACCGGUACCUCUCCCAAAGUGACCUGCUAUUGCAGGUCACAAUUUAAAAAAAACCAAAUCUGAGCCGUUGAAUACGCGUAAAUGAACGUCAACAAAAAAAAAAAAAAGUAUAGAAGCAUUACUCUUUGUGUAAAUAUCCUAUUUAUGCCAAAACUUAAAAAAAAAAUUAUUAAUACCUAAAUAUAAAGCCCAAUCCAACCAAAAAGAAAAUGUUACUUUACUCAACCCACCCCACGCCUAAAUAUAAAGUCCAAUCCAACCAAAAAUAAAAGGUUACUAUACUCAACUCACCCCACCCAGCCCAAUCGGCCUGAUUACAAACAGAAAAGAAAAGAAAAAAGAAAAAAGAAAAAUCGAUUACCAUCUUUCCUUCUUUCCUCACUCAAUCCACUGAAAUCCUAGACGAAGAGCCCUUCCCUCUCCUCCUCCUCCGCCACCGCAGCCAACGAGGUAGAGUUCCGGCGGUUGCUAAAUGCUUAAGUAAGUGUUGGUAAAUUAGCAUCACUCUUUUUAGAUUAUAGCGACACUUUUUAAUUGUCACUAUAUAGCAAGCGACCCUACAUAUAGCAACACUUUUUAAAAGUGUCGGUAAUUUAGCCAGCAGCACUUUUUUGAUCUACAUCGACAUUUAAAAAUGUCGCUAUAGACUGUUUUUGUUGUAGUGUGUAAGUUAAAAUAACAAUUCUAUUAGAAUUAGAAUUAAAAUUUUUUAUUAUGAUUAUGAUUAUGAUUAUGAUUAUGAUUUACAAUAAUUAU